AACCCUAAACCUAAGAAGUCAGAUAUGCUGCGCCCCUUUCUACUGUUCAUCUUCCCCAACUCUCAACUCGCCCUCAACUCACCAUUAAUUCACCCGAGUUCACUCAAAAUGGUCCCCCCCCUCCACGUCAUUUGAUUCCCAACGGUUUUGUCAGUAGGGAGUACGAAUUUUCUCUCCCAAAUAGCACAAUUUCGGAUUCAAAAGGACAAUUGUUGGACGAAUGGGAGCCGUGGACAGAUGAAAAUUGAUCCACGCCUUCCAUUUGUCCCAAAAAUUGUUGAAAAAUCAGAAGAUUUCGGAUAUUUUGAGCAGAAGAUUCGAGAAUUUUUUUAGGGUUAUAUAUAGGAGUUUGGAUUUGUUUGGCUGAUCUAUUAAGCUGUUGAUACUAUCGCUGAAUUUCUUCUCCCAUUUCAGAGUUUCGUUCGAUAUUUUCAGUUGUUUUUUUGCUAAUAGGUAUGUUUCAACACCGUUGUAUUCAUCUUCUAUUUAAAUAAAGUCGUUGAUUUCUGGUUUGGUUUGCUGAAUGCUUGUGAUAGUAUGUCAACAUGAACUUAAAUAGACCUAUAUUAAACUAUUUAUGGAGUUAAGUACUAGAGUUUUGUUAGGUCAAGAUUUGAGGGCAAGCAUGAAGCCAACCACUGAGGAAAAGAAUUUUGGUCCCUGUUUAUUUUUAGAAGUCAAGUUCCUGUAUUUUUGAGUUUCUUUUACUGCAAAAAUAUUCCUUGUUCUACUGUUGA